GACGAACGCUGGCGGCGUGCUUAACACAUGCAAGUCGAACGGAAAGGCCCUGCUUUUGUGGGGUGCUCGAGUGGCGAACGGGUGAGUAACACGUGAGUAACCUGCCCUUGACUUUGGGAUAACUUCAGGAAACUGGGGCUAAUACCGGAUAGGAGCUCCUGCUGCAUGGUGGGGGUUGGAACGUUUCGGCGGUUGGGGAUGGACUCGCGGGUUAUCAGCUUGUUGGUGGGGUAGUGGCUUACCAAGGCAUUGACGGAUAGCCGGCCUGAGAGGGUGACCGGCCACAUUGCGCCUGAGAGACGGCCCAGACUCCUACGGGAGGCAGCAGUGGGGAAUAUUGCACAAUGGGCGGAAGCCUGAUGCAGCAACGCUGCGUGCGGGAUGACGGCCUUCGGGUUGUAAACCGCUUUCGCCUGUGACGAAGCGUGAGUGACGGUAAUGGGUAAAGAAGCACCGGCUAACUACGUG
rnacentral:rRNA from 1 species